rnacentral:lncRNA from 1 species
GAAAUCUGCUUCUUUGUGUUCUACCUUUCGCACUAUUAAUCUUUCGUGCAGUUGUGCGUAAGUGUUUUGCUACUAGAUUUUAAAAGAGGUUUUUGAAGGAUGAACUUAUUAUUUUUAUGUGGCGUAGAUUUAAUAUGUGUGAAUGAGGAUCUUGAGACAAUCGUUCCUCCAGUAAAUUAAUUUUUGUUGGGAGUUGUUGCUCAUUUUGGGUAUGUAAUUGUUAAUUGGGCUUGUGGUUAAUUGGUGAUGUUAGGACUACCGC